rnacentral:misc_RNA from 1 species
AACGAGGCCGACCUGCGGCUGAGUUACCUGCGUAGGGAUCAUUACACAAUACAAUAUGAAGGCUGUCCGCAGCUGGAGUAUUUUAUUACCCUUGUCUUUUGCGCACUUGUUGUUUCCUGGGCGGGUUCGCUCGCCACCAGGACCACCAAAUAAACCUUUUUUAUGCAGUUGCAAUCAGCGUCAGUACAAACAAUGUAAAUCAUUUACAACUUUUAGCAAUGGAUCUCAGAUCGGAAGAGC